CCUACGGGGGGCAGCAGUGGGGAAUCUUGCGCAAUGGACGAAAGUCUGACGCAGCGACGCCGCGUGAGUGAUGAAGGCCUUCGGGUUGUAAAGCUCUGUGGGGAGAGACGAAUAAGGUGCAGUUAAUAUCUGCAUCGAUGACGGUACCUCCUUAGCAAGCACCGGCUAACUCUGUGCCAGCAGCCGCGGUCAGACAGAGGGAGCCACCGUUGUUCGGAAUUGCUGGGCGUGAAAGAUGUGUAGGAUGUCAAAGCCCCGGGCUCAACCUGGGAAGUGCAUUCGAUACUGUUUGACUUGAGUACUGGAGAGGUUGGUGGAAUUCUCGGUGUAGAGGUGAAAUUCGUAGAUAUCGGGAAGAACAUCUGUGGCGAAGGCGGCCAACUGGACAGAUACUGACGCUGAGACACGAAAGCGUGGGGAGCAAACAGGAUUAGAUACCCUUGUAGUC
rnacentral:rRNA from 1 species